rnacentral:rRNA from 1 species
GACGAACGCUGGCGGCGUGCUUAACACAUGCAAGUCGAACGGAAAGGCCCUGCUUUUGUGGGGUGCUCGAGUGGCGAACGGGUGAGUAACACGUGAGUAACCUGCCCUUGACUUUGGGAUAACUUCAGGAAACUGGGGCUAAUACCGGAUAGGAGCUCCUGCUGCAUGGUGGGGGUUGGAAAGUUUCGGCGGUUGGGGAUGGACUCGCGGCUUAUCAGCUUGUUGGUGGGGUAGUGGCUUACCAAGGCUUUGACGGGUAGCCGGCCUGAGAGGGUGACCGGCCACAUUGGGACUGAGAUACGGCCCAGACUCCUACGGGAGGCAGCAGUGGGGAAUAUUGCACAAUGGGCGGAAGCCUGAUGCAGCAACGCCGCGUGCGGGAUGACGGCCUUCGGGUUGUAAACCGCUUUCGCCUGUGACGAAGCGUGAGUGACGGUAAUGGGUAAAGAAGCACCGGCUAACUACGUGCCAGCAGCCGCGGUGAUACGUAGGGUGCGAGCGUUGUCCGGAUUUAUUGGGCGUAAAGGGCUCGUAGGUGGUUGAUCGCGUCGGAAGUGUAAUCUUGGGGCUUAACCCUGAGCGUGCUUUCGAUACGGGUUGACUUGAAGAAAGGUAGGGGAGAAUGGAAUCCUGGUGGAGCGGUGGAAUGCGCAGAUAUCAGGAGGAACACCAGUGGCGAAGGCGGUUCUCUGGGCCUUUCCUGACGCUGAGGAGCGAAAGCGUGGGGAGCGAACAGGCUUAGAUACCCUGGUAGUCCACGCUGUAAACGGUGGGUACUAGGUGUGGGGUCCAUUCCACGGGUUCCGUGCCGUAGCUAACGCUUUAAGUACCCCGCCUGGGGAGUACGGCCGCAAGGCUAAAACUCAAAGGAAUUGACGGGGCCCCGCACAAGCGGCGGAGCAUGCGGAUUAAUUCGAUGCAACGCGUAGAACCUUACCUGGGUUUGACAUGGAUCGGGAGCGCUCAGAGAUGGGUGUGCCUCUUUUGGGGUCGGUUCACAGGUGGUGCAUGGCUGUCGUCAGCUCGUGUCGUGAGAUGUUGGGUUAAGUCCCGCAACGAGCGCAACCCUUGUUCACUGUUGCCAGCACGUUAUGGUGGGGACUCAGUGGAGACCGCCGGGGUCAACUCGGAGGAAGGUGGGGAUGACGUCAAGUCAUCAUGCCCCUUAUGUCCAGGGCUUCACGCAUGCUACAAUGGCUGGUACAGAGAGUGGCGAGCCUGUGAGGGUGAGCGAAUCUCGGAAAGCCGGUCUCAGUUCGGAUUGGGGUCUGCAACUCGACCUCAUGAAGUCGGAGUCGCUAGUAAUCGCAGAUCAGCAACGCUGCGGUGAAUACGUUCCCGGG